AGCUGUCAGCACAGAGCCCGACACGGGGCUCGAACUCACAAACCGAGAGAUCAGGACCUGAGCCAGAGCCACCGAGCCACCCAGGCACCCCUACAGUUAAGGGCUUCUUAAUGACAAACCUAGGAAAUUUGUUCACAGACUCCGAGAAAGAUCUACUACAUUCUUUUUUUAAUGUUUAUUUUUGAGAGAGCGGGGAAGGGCAGAGAGGAAGGGAGACAGAGGAUCCAAAGCAGCCUCUGCGCUGACAACAGAGAGAUGGAUGCAGGCUUGAACUCACGAACCACGAGAUCAUGACCUGAGCCAAAGUCAGACGCUUAACCAAUUGAACCCCCCCAGGUGUCCCAGCCAGCAGCUCUUAAUGAGGUAGUUUCACAUGUCUGACACAAACCUCUGUCCUGGAGAGCUUUGAAGUGACUUCCUAGUAUGUUACUAAAUUUGCAGCUUCAAGCAAAACCUGCCUAAAGAUGAGGUAAGAAUACGUCGGAGUGCCCUUGUUCCAUUGCGUAGAGCCAGAAACCUGGUUUCAUUAGUUUGCCCAGAGGUGAGUAGGCUCCAGAGGACACACUAAUGCUAACCAAACUCAAAAGGGAUUGAUGUAUAAACCUAGAAUGUGCAUUAACUACUUUCUAGUGAAAAACUUAAUUUUCAGCCAUCUGGAUAAUUUUAUUUGCCAACAAGGUGUUCCUUCAUAAAGGAAGAUCUGCGUGGGAGACCAGAUUCUUACGCCAUGUAUCUAUUGGCCCCGUUGUUGGUUUGAAACCUUGGGAGCUUCGCGGGUGAAAUCUGAAAUUGUUCUCCAUACACAGAGGGCUAUUUCUUGAAAAUGGAUCCUAGCACGGGAACAGCAGGCAGAGUGGACACGCCAAGGAUGGAAGAGGAUGAGAAGCCUCCGAUUCUCCAGUCCAGCCUGAGGGUCAACUGGUAAUCAGUGUCCUCUUGAUGACUUCCUCCACCACCCACUUAACCCAUCCAAGAACCGA